rnacentral:rRNA from 1 species
UACGGAGGGUGCAAGCGUUAAUCGGAAUUACUGGGCGUAAAGCGUGCGCAGGCGGUUUUGUAAGCCAGAUGUGAAAGCCCCGGGCUCAACCUGGGAAUGGCAUUUGGGACUGCAAGGCUUGAGUGCGGCAGAGGAGACUGGAAUUCCUGGUGUAGCAGUGAAAUGCGUAGAUAUCGGGAGGAACACCAGUGGCGAAGGCGACUACCUGGCCUGUUCUUGACGCUGAGGCGCGAAAGCUAGGGGAGCAAACGGG